GAUGAACGCUGGCGGUCUGCUUAACACAUGCAAGUCGAACGGGCUCUUUCGGGAGCUAGUGGCGGACGGGCGAGUAACGCGUUAGAACCUGCCCUUUGGAGGGGGCGAAGGGUUGGAAACGACCGCUAAUACCCCAUGUGCCGAGAGGUAAAAAGUAUUUAGCCAAGGGAUGAGUUCGCGUCGGAUUAGCUAGUUGGUGGAGUAAGAGCCCACCAAGGCGAGGAACCGUAGUUGGUCGGAGAGGAUGACCAGCCACACUGGGACUGAGACACGGCCCAGACUCCUACGGGAGGCAGCAGUGGGGAAUUUUCCGCAAUGGGCGCAAGCGUGACGGAGCAAGACCGCGUGAGGGAAGACGGUCUGUGGACUGUAAGCCUCUGUUGACAGGGAAGAAGUACUGACGGUACCUGUCGAAUCAGCCUCGGCUAACUACGUG
rnacentral:rRNA from 1 species